rnacentral:rRNA from 1 species
CCUACGGGUGGCAGCAGUGAGGAAUAUUGGUCAAUGGACGAGAGUCUGAACCAGCCAAGUAGCGUGAAGGAUGACUGCCCUAUGGGUUGUAAACUUCUUUUAUAUGGGAAUAAAACGUUCCACGUGUGGGAUUUUGUAUGUACCAUAUGAAUAAGGCUCGGCUAACUCCGUGCCAGCAGCCGCGGUAAUACGGAGGAUCCGAGCGUUAUCCGGAUUUAUUGGGUUUAAAGGGAGCGUAGGUGGAUUGUUAAGUCAGUUGUGAAAGUUUGCGGCUCAACCGUAAAAUUGCAGUUGAAACUGGCAGUCUUGAGUACAGUAGAGGUGGGCGGAAUUCGUGGUGUAGCGGUGAAAUGCUUAGAUAUCACGAAGAACUCCGAUUGCGAAGGCAGUUCACUGGACUGCAACUGACACUGAGGCUCGAAAGUGUGGGUAUCAAACAGGAUUAGAUACCCCAGUAGUC